rnacentral:rRNA from 1 species
AGUGAACGCUGGCGGCAGGCCUAACACAUGCAAGUCGAACGGCAGCACAAGAGAGCUUGCUCUCUGGGUGGCGAGUGGCGGACGGGUGAGGAGUGCAUCGGAAUCUGCCCAUUUGUGGGGGAUAACCUCGGGAAACCGGGACUAAUACCGCAUACGACCUACGGGUGAAAGCAGGGGAUCUUCGGACCUUGCGCAGAUGGAUGAGCCGAUGCCGGAUUAGCUAGUUGGAGGGGUAAAGGCCCACCAAGGCGACGAUCCGUAGCUGGUCUGAGAGGAUGAUCAGCCACACUGGGACUGAGACACGGCCCAGACUCCUACGGGAGGCAGCAGUGGGGAAUAUUGGACAAUGGGCGCAAGCCUGAUCCAGCCAUGCCGCGUGUGUGAAGAAGGCCUUCGGGUUGUAAAGCACUUUUGUUGGGAAAGAAAAGCAGCCGGUUAAUACCCGGUUGUCAUGACGGUACCCAAAGAAUAAGCACCGGCUAACUUCGU